ACUCAAAUGAAUUGACGGGGGCUCACACAAGCGGUGGAGCAUGUGGCUUAAUUCGAGGCUACGCGCAAAACCUUAUCCUGGGCUUGACAUGCACGGAUUAGCCGGCGGAAACGUCGGUAAGGCCGCAAGGUACAACGUGCACAGGUGCUGCAUGGCUGUCGUCAGCUCGUGUCGUGAGAUGUUGGGUUAAGUCCCGUAACGAGCGAAACCCCUGUGGCCAGUUGCCAACGCGUCAAGGCGGGGACUCUGGCCAGACCGCCGGCGUCAAGCCGGAGGAAGGCGGGGACGACGUCAAGUCCUCAUGGCCCUUAUGCCCAGGGCUGCACACGUGCUACAAUGGGGCGGACAAAGCGACGCAAACGCGCAAGCGCCAGCAAAUCGCAAAAACCGCUCCCCAGUUCGGAUUGCGGGCUGCAACCCGCCCGCAUGAAGCCGGAAUCGCUAGUAAUCGCGGAUCAGCACUGCCGCGGUGAAUGUGUUCCUGAGCCUUGCACACACCGCCCGU
rnacentral:rRNA from 1 species